rnacentral:pre_miRNA from 1 species
GGAGGGAGCACUGGAUCCUGGGCCGUGUCCCCUGGUGCUUUGGGCUGUGGGGCCUGUGCUGCUGGAAUUGCGUUCCUGGGGCCGCGCAGCCCCCU